rnacentral:lncRNA from 1 species
UCAUGGUCUGGAUGACUUCAGUAUACAACUGUACACUGUAUUUUUUCUCUCUUGUUUCCCAGCUGGUAGCCGUGUAUGAGGAGAUGGAGCUUCAGCAGAGGGCGGUGGCGAGUCCAGGAGGGAGUGUGGCAUCAGGCUUCUCCAGCCCUGAACCCUCAGAGCCUGAGCUCGGCCUUCUAAUGCCCGGCAGCGAGAUCGAGGUCACCUCCAGUGCUCUAAAAUCAAACACGCCUCUACUGGUCAGAAGCAGCAGUGAAUCGGUCCUGACUCCGCCUCUGGAGGCCGGCACUCGUGAGGCUGAUAACCAGAGCAGCAGACCACAGACAACGGUCAGUAUCCAAGAGCUGAAGUUUUUUUUUUUUUUUUUUUUUUUAUCAUAAUCACACCAUGCAAAUCAGACGCUUAGAAUCAAUGUUCUGAAUGUUCUUCAGAUACAUAUAUUUAUUAGUGGUGUCAAUCAAUUAAUACAUUUUAUUCGAUUAAUCACCACAAUAUUCUGUAACUAACUGUGA